UUUGUUUGAUUAAAAUUUUAUGGAAAACUUUUUCGAUUGAUACAGUGAAACUUCUCAAUAGCGGACAUUUUCGGAACUAAAAAUAUUGUGCGUUAUUGAAGAGUGCCCGCUAUUCGGAACAAUAUUAACGUGUAAAUUGUGCUUCAGGAGAU